AGCCUGAUUCUACUGCAGCUGAAAGGGCAGUUGCUAGACCAGCAGUGCCUCUUCUGAAGAAAAAGAUAGGUGUGCUAAAAGCUGCUGUCAAAGCUUAUAAGAUGCGAGACAAAAUGCUGUUGCAGUUAACUCAUCAGAGAAUGCUUCAGCAGGAAAUCCUUCCAAGGAUACUUUGUGUUCAAAAGAUGAAGGUCAAAAGAUGAA